GGGGAUGUAGCUCAGUGGUAGAGCACUUGCAGGUGCAAGAUCCUGGGUUCCAUCCCCA
rnacentral:tRNA from 1 species